AGGCGGUGUGCUGGCUCCGCGUGGUUCUCCCGUCAGCCGGCCUUGCCCGCCUCUACUCUCAGAACUGCUGGUCCGUGUUCAACAACCGACGCCUCACGCGACGGGCAAAAGAGUGGCAACUCUGAACCCGGAGAGAUGUAGCGGACAUCGGGCAACACCAGAUCCAGCCUUGUCUUUGAGCACGUGUUCUAACCAGAUAGGCCUUUCUAGACUAUACCGCUUGUAACUUGCUUUACAAGUUCCACAAGGAUCGCUACCCAUUAUCUCAUCGGAUUAGUGGGUAAGGCUGCAAAAGAGCAGCCCCUCAUUCAAAUGGCUUGUACCGCUCUUUCAAAUCCCUACUUAAAACUUAAAUAUUCGCGUGGUGGCGCACAGUGCUACUGAACAGGAGGAUAAUGGAUUUAAGGCCAGCCUAGAAAUAGAUACCAAGACCUUAUCAAAAACUAAUAAUCAGUGAAAACAGCAAAGAGGCUCAACGACCAGGUCUCAUGCCAAAACAGUCUGGAGUUCGGUAUUGGAGGACACGGGCUGCUAGUAUUGAGAUGCUAAAGCAAGAGAGGAGAUAGAAUCAUGACAAUCUACUGGAUGUACACCACAUUUGUGGCUGAGGCCCCUAGGGGUCAGACGAAGGGAUGGCAUUCCCUGCCUGAGACUGGAGUUAACAGUGGUUGUGAGCUGCAUAUGAGUGCUGAGAACCAAA
rnacentral:lncRNA from 1 species